AUUGAACGCUGGCGGCAGGCCUAACACAUGCAAGUCGAACGAGCGGCGGACGGGUGAGUAAUGUAUGGGGAUCUGCCUGAUGGCGGGGGAUAACUACUGGAAACGGUAGCUAAUACCGCAUACCAUCAGAUGCACCCAUAUGGGAUUAGCUAGUAGGUAAGGUAACGGCUUACCUAGGCGACGAUCCCUAGCUGGUCUGAGAGGAUGAUCCGCCACACUGGGACUGAGACACGGCCCAGAAGCCGACGGGAGGCAGCAGUGGGGAAUAUUGCACAAUGGGCGCAAGCCUGAUGCAGCCAUGCCGCGUGUAUGAAGAAGGCCUUCGGGUUGUAAAGUACUUUCAGUGGGGAGGCGUUACCGACAGAAGAAGCACCGGCUAACUCCGUGCCAGCAGCCGCGGUAAUAC
rnacentral:rRNA from 1 species